GACGAACGCUGGCGGCGUGCCUAAUACAUGCAAGUAGAACGCACAGUUUAUACCGUAGCUUGCUACACCAUAGACUGUGAGUUGCGAACGGGUGAGUAACGCGUAGGUAACCUGCCUGGUAGCGGGGGAUAACUAUUGGAAACGAUAGCUAAUACCGCAUAAUAUUGAUUAUUGCAUGAUAAUUGAUUGAAAGAUGCUAUUGCAUCACUACCAGAUGGACCUGCGUUGUAUUAGCUAGUAGGUGAGGUAACGGCUCACCUAGGCGACGAUACAUAGCCGACAUGGGAGGGGGAUCGGCCACACUGGGACUGAGACACGGCCCAGACCCCUACGGGAGGCAGCAGUAGGGAAUUUUCGGCAAUGGGCGAAAGUCUGACCGAGCAACGCCGGGGGGGUGAAGAAGGUUUUCGGUUUGUAAAGCUCUUUUAUAAGGGAAGAAGGGGGGUGAGGGUAGAAAUUUCCCAAUGGAAGGGUAUUUUACAAGAAGGGGCCGGCAAACUACUG
rnacentral:rRNA from 1 species